rnacentral:rRNA from 1 species
ACAUGAAGCUGGAAUCGCUAGUAAUCGCGGAUCAGAAUGCCGCGGUGAAUACGUUCCCGGGUCUUGUACACACCGCCCGUCACACCAUGGGAGUCGGAAAUGCCCGAAGUCUGUGACCCAACCGGAAGGGAGGAGCAGCCGAAGGCAGGUCUGAUGACUGGGGUGAAGUCGUAACAAGGUAUC